rnacentral:rRNA from 1 species
UACGUAGGCAGCGAGCGUUGUUCGGAGUUACUGGGCGUAAAGGGUGUGUAGGCGGUUGUUUAAGUUUGGUGUGAAAUCCCUCGGCUCAACUGAGGAACUGCCUUUGAAACUGCCGUGCUUGAGUCCGGGAGGGGGUAGCGGAAUUCCCAGUGUAGCGGUGAAAUGCGUAGAUAUCGAGAGGAACACCAGUGGCGAAGGCGAGUCCCUGGACAACACCUGACACUGAGGCACGAAAGCUAGGGGAGCAAACGGG